rnacentral:rRNA from 1 species
CAGCAGCCGCGGUAAUACCGGCGGCCCGAGUGGUGGCCGCUAUUAUUGGGCCUAAAGCGUCCGUAGCCGGGCUGGUAAGUCCUCCGGGAAAUCUGGUCGCUUAACGAUCAGACUUCCGGAGGAUACUGCUGGCCUAGGGACCGGGAGAGGCCGAGGGUAUUCCCGGGGUAGGGGUGAAAUCCUGUAAUCCCGGGAGGACCACCUGUGGCGAAGGCGCUCGGCUGGAACGGGUCCGACGGUGAGGGACGAAGGCCAGGGGAGCGAACCGGAUUAGAUACCCGGGUAGUCCUGGCUGUAAACGAUGCGGACUAGGUGUCGGGCAAGCUAAGGGCUUGUCCGGUGCCGCAGGGAAGCCGUUAAGUCCGCCGCCUGGGGAGUACGGCCGCAAGGCUGAAACUUAAAGGAAUUGGCGGG